rnacentral:rRNA from 1 species
GUGAAUUUUAGGGCGUCUUACUUCGGUAAGGGCCUGACCUCCACUCUCUAACACUGUGCACUCAUUGGCGGGAAAGAAAUAAGAAGAGUAUUUAUACUUUGAAUACGAUUUCCUGCGGCUCACUUUUAAACAUUAGUCAAAGUAUGUAACGAAAUAUCGAAAUAAAAA